AGCAAAUUGGAGGAACAAAAGCCCCAAAAAGGUGGCUGCCAAAGGGGGUAGGGGGGGGUUGUGCCGCGAAGAGGGAUGACCACUCAAUAUGCGGCGAAUGAUUAAUGAACAUAUCGAAAGCCGAAACAAAGUUCCUACAUAAUGAACCCCAAAGAAUGGAAUAGGAGGACCCAUUGGCCAUGGGAAAGCCACAGAAAUCCACAGAAGAGGAGAACUGACUAACUGGGUCGGGCAGCCCAGGGAAAGGGGGAAAAGGUGGGUAUAAAGAGUGAGGCUUACGAAUCGGAGAGCAAAACAAAAAGCAAAGAAAGCGUCCAUCGUGUCGGUUCCAGCAGUCUCUAUAUAGACGAAGGAUCUAUACAAAAUUGGAUCCGAGAGAGUCCGCGACAGAGAACGUGUAGGGCAGAAAGAACGCGAAGUAAAUUAAAAUAUUACAUCGUUGACCCUGAACCUCGUCGAGCGCAUGGCAUGGCCAGGCAUGUGUGAAGCUAAGCCACACUGGUUCAAACACAAUUUGCUUUAGGAAUGCAAAUAUACAUCCAAACGAGCACCUACGAGUAUACUUAUAAGAAGAGACGCUCUGGUGGCGAUUCGAAGUCCUUUUCCCCGAAUGUGGUCCCAUCUGUCUGUGCGGAUCUGUCGUUCGAAUCAUAUUAGCAUUGAGUCUUACUUCAACUAGAGUGCCAAUCGAUUAUAUAUAUGACAGAAUAUAGUUUCCCAAUUACAGCAAUGUAUCUAUAUCUUACAAUUGGACAGCUCCUGGUGGCGCCUGUGGCGGGUCUUGUGCCACAGGGAUUCACGGUGCGGCAACUCCAAUCACACAGCCAAAUGCAUAUAUCUGGUGGAUCCGGGUCCCUGCAAAGAUUGGGUCAAGGUCUGGGGCUUUGACUAUCUGACAAAUCGCUGCAUAUUCUACUA